AGGCUAUAGUAGAAGACACUUGCCCAAGGUGCCACGCAGUGGGACUGAACCCAGAACCACGUGGUUGGUAAGCAAGCUACUUACCACACAGCCACUCCCACGCCUGUGAUAAUUUAUUUUUAGAGUGACAUUAUAGGAUAGGUGUGAGAGGCUGGAUCUGGCUGUUUUAAAUUGCAAAGAGUUAAGGAUGUCUAUUAGAUUUCUAUCUGCAUGUUGUGCCUCAGUUAAUAUAUGUUUGACUUAACAAGACUUUACAAUCAAGUAUAUUUUCUAUUUUCUGUUCUGGCAUGAAAUUUUGGCUGUUUAGGGGUUUAGUGUCGGUCUGUUGUACUGGAAUUAUUAUUCUUUGUAAUGAGAUUUGAUUUAAUGUUGUGUCAGUAAAGAUAACGUUUAGGAAUUGGAAAAAAAAAAAAAUCAAAGCAAAAGAAAUAUAAAAAAAAACACAAAAGUAUUAUAUUGUAAAGUUUGUUGUACUGUUAUUUUAUGUAAUGGGAUUUCACCAGUGUGUAUAUAUAUGCAUGGUUACACAUAUAUACAAACACACUUGUACAUAGCUAUACAUAGAUAUAUACAUUACUUAUUUCUGUCUAUCUACACAUACAUGCACGCACACAUACUCUCACAUACAUACGUACAUACAUACAUACAUACACGCACACACUCACAUACAUACAUACAUACAUACAUACAUAGUGAUGGUUGUAAAUGAGCAUCAUCAUCAUCAUCAUCAUUAUACAAGCGAGGUUGUUUGUUUCCAGUCUUCUGUGAAAAACACAUCUAGCUAUGAGGAAACAGGCGAGGGUUGGUGACAGAAAGGGCAUGUGCGUGUGUGUGUACACACACAUAUCUAUUUCUGUCUGUCUGCCCCACCGCCACUAGUUUCUGCUUGAUUCUUUCUCUCUAUCUCUCUCUUUCCACACACACACACACACACACACACACACACACUGCUAUUUACUUGCGGAAAUUGUUCUGCAGUUCUUGGGCAUUUUUAGAUAAGCACCAAGUGACAACAACAAGAACAGGAACAACCCCCCCCACAAGAAAACCAGCAUGUAAAAAAAAAAAAAGAAAGUAGAUAAAAAUGUAAAACAAAAAACUAGACCGACUUCCAUAAUUGUGCCAUUAAAAAAACCCCAAAAACCUCCUUAAAAGAAAAAUCCCAACUCACACCACAUAACUAAAGAAUCUCAAGAACAAUAAACACAAUAACAAUCGCAACUGAAGCUGGCACAAGAAAAAUUAUUGCUGUUUUGCACUCAGCAAAUACUUCAGAAAAAUAUGGCGCCGGAAAAUUUCCUGUUGCACACUAUAUAUUCCGGUGACAUCUAUUUUGCCUGGCUGUUUUCCAUUUAUGUGUAAAGAACACGAGUAGGCUUCUUGAGUUGUUGGGCAGGCAAACAUGAUGAAAGGCCAUCAAUGUCCGAAGUGGUGAGCACAAUGACACAAGUAUUUCAGUCUGUAACACUGCAGCCAUGCUGGAGCACCACCUUGAAGGGGUUUCAUCAAACGAAUAGAUCAAUCCUAGUUCCUUUCUCCCCUAUAUAUCAUUAAAGGCACGAAACUGAGUAUUACCAAUUGGUUGAUAACU